UCCUAAGGUGCGCGGGAGAACCCUCGUUAAGGAACUCGGCAAAAUGUACCCGUAACUUCGGGAUAAGGGUAGCCACUGUUGUGAAGUCCCAUGCGGAUGGAGCAUAGAGUGGUCGCAGAGAAGAGGCCCAAGCGACUGUUUACCAUAAACACAGGUGCCUGCUAAAGCGAAAGCUGACGUAUAGGUGCUGACACCUGCCCAGUGCCGGAAGGUUAAGGAAGGAUGUUCGGAUUAGUCCAAAGCAUUCGACUGAAGCCCCGGUGAACGGCGGCCGUAACUAUAACGGUCCUAAGGUAGCGAAAUUCCUUGUCGGGUAAGUUCCGACCCGCACGAAAGGUGUAACGAUUUGGGCACUGUCUCAACGAGGGACCCGGUGAAAUUGAAAUACCUGUGAAGAUGCAGGUUACCCGCGACUGGACAGAAAGACCCCAUGGAGCUUUACUGUAACCUGACAUUGGGUUUUGAUACAUUACGUACAGGAUAGGUGGGAGGCUUGGAAAGUUGGACGCUAGUCUGACUGGAGCCGACGUUGGGAUACCACCCUUGAUGUAUUGAAAUUCUAACCGCGAGAGUAACGAAAUCCGGGACAGUGUCAGGCGGGCAGUUUGACUGGGGCGGUCGCCUCCGAAAGAGUAACGGAGGCGCCCAAAGGUUCCCUCAGCGCGGCCGGAAAUCGCGCGAAGAGUGUAAAGGCAGAAGGGAGCUUGACUGCGAGUCAAACACGACGAGCAGGUACGAAAGUAGGGCUUAGUGAUCCGGUGGUACCGAGUGGAAGGGCCAUCGCUCAACGGAUAAAAGCUACCCUGGGGAUAACAGGCUAAUCUCUCCCAAGAGUCCAUAUCGACGGGGAGGUUUGGCACCUCGAUGUCGGCUCAUCACAUCCUGGGGCUGAAGUCGGUCCCAAGGGUUGGGCUGUUCGCCCAUUAAAGUGGUACGUGAGCUGGGUUCAGAACGUCGUGAGACAGUUCGGUCCCUAUCCAUCGCGGGCGCAAGAGAUUUGAAGGGGGCUGCUCCUAGUACGAGAGGACCGGAGUGGACGAACCGCUGGUGUACCAAUUAUCCCGCCAGGGGUACAGUUGGGUAGCUACGUUCGGAAAGGAUAAACGCUGAAAGCAUCUAAGCGUGAAACCAGCCUUAAGAUGAGAUCUCUCAUAGAGCAAUCUAGUAAGACACCUUAAAGAAGAUGAGGUUGAUAGGUCGGGAGUGUAAGUACAGCAAUGUAUUGAGCGGACCGAUACUAAUAUGUCGAGGGCUUGACUUA
rnacentral:rRNA from 1 species